UCGCAAGGCUAAUCCGACCGUCCAUGCGCUAUUCGUAUCAACUGUACUACGACCGGUCUGAGCUGACGUCACGGAAUAAUCUCGAACUGGCGCGAGCGCUGCCCCGCCGCGCCGCCCAGUCAUCAGUCCGCGCCAGCUAUCAAACGAUACGCACGUACCGUCGCGCACACGGGCCAGCCCGUGUCGUCUCGCGCGCUGUACGAAUUAUAAUUUUAAUUAUUUUCUGGUGGGCGCGGACACCUGCAAAUUUAUUUAAUUUAAAUAUAUUCGGCGACGUAAUCGCGAAAUAACGAGUUCCCGCACCCACGUACUGGGUGCGCCGUUAUUUUUAAAAAAGAAGACCGUUCGGCCGACGUGUCACACCGUCACCAGCAUCCACACACACAACAUCCAGACGGCUGGGUUGGAGCCUGAGUCGUUCGCCCGCCGUCGCCCCUGCUCCUCUUCAGCGCUGGCCCCCACACCUGCUGCGGACCACCAUCAUAACCACCAGCCAGGGCAGUACCGCUCCGCGGUGGCAAAUUAUAGACCGGGCCUUGACCACCCACGACCCUAUUCCAAGAUUUUAGUUUUUUUUAAAUAAAUUAUUUUUGUUAACGUUC
rnacentral:lncRNA from 1 species